rnacentral:rRNA from 1 species
UGCCAGCCGCCGCGGUAAUACGAAGGUCCCAAGCGUUGUUCGGAAUUACUGGGCGUAAAGCGCGCGUAGGUGGUUUAUUGAGUUGGAUGUGAAAUCCCCGGGCUCAACCUGGGAACUGCAUCCAAAACUAAUUCACUAGAGUACGAUAGAGGGAGGUAGAAUUCACAGUGUAGCGGUGGAAUGCGUAGAUAUUGUGAAGAAUACCAAUGGCGAAGGCAGCCUCCUGGAUCUGUACUGACACUGAGGUGCGAAAGCGUGGGUAGCAAACAGGAUUAGAUA